AGUGAACGCUGGCGGUAGGCCUAACACAUGCAAGUCGAACGGCAGCACAGGAGAGCUUGCUCUCUGGGUGGCGAGUGGCGGACGGGUGAGGAAUACAUCGGAAUCUACUCUGUCGUGGGGGAUAACGUAGGGAAACUUACGCUAAUACCGCAUACGACCUACGGGUGAAAGCAGGGGACCUUCGGGCCUUGCGCGAUUGAAUGAGCCGAUGUCGGAUUGGCUAGUUGGCGGGGUAAAGGCCCACCAAGGCGACGAUCCGUAGCUGGUCUGAGAGGAUGAUCAGCCACACUGGAACUGAGACACGGUCCAGACUCCCACGGGAGGAAGCAGUGGGGAAUAUUGGACAAUGGGCGCAAGCCUGAUUCAGCCAUACCGCGUGGGUGAAGAAGGCCUUCGGGUUGUAAAGCCCUUUUGUUGGGAAAGAAAUCCAGCUGGCUAAUACCCGGUUGGGAUGACGGUACCCAAAGAAUAAGCACCGGCUAACUUCGUGCCAGCCGCCGCCGUAA
rnacentral:rRNA from 1 species